rnacentral:lncRNA from 1 species
AUGGAUCAGAAAGAAGAAGAAUGCUGGGACUUGGAGGUAUGCAAGUUUGCAUUUUAGCCUUGCCCUUCUACCUUUUCCAUGCUUUGCUAUUCGAUUCUUGCUUGAGAUAAGAGUAGAAUCUUCUUAAUCUGUCUUUAAUUCUUUGUUGUGUUACAACUACCUUACCUGUGACAAAGCUACUAGUUUAUUCACAAUUCGUGGGUUCUAAAAUUUGUUGUUUAUGGUAAACAGUUUCAAAAUUUGUGUAUCUAAUAUAUAUAAAAAAUUGUAAAUAAAUUACUGUAGGAUUUAAUUAACUUAAAUUUGUAAUGGCAUACAUCUUUGUGAUUUUUGUGAUAUUAUGUUUAAAUUUGCAGAGGCAAAUAAUGCCAAGAAACCUAGCCCUGCUUGGGAAUCUAAGCAAUUGGAGUUUACUUGCUCCCAAGUUAAUGUUCUAGAAUGUUCGGAUCUGCUGUGGGGUUUUUCCCUUCCUCAAGGCUUCUCCUCUUAG